rnacentral:rRNA from 1 species
GGGUGCCCAGGCGCGAAAACUUUACAAUGCUGGCAACAGCGAUAAGGGGACCUCGAGUGCCAGGAUACAAUCUUGGCUGUCGCGAUGCCUAAAAAGCAUUGCAUAGCAAGGGCCGGGCAAGACCGGUGCCAGCCGCCGCGGUAACACCGGCGGCUCGAGUGGUAACCGCUAUUAUUGGGUCUAAAGGGUCUGUAGCCGGCCGGAUAAGUCUUUUGGGAAAUCCAGCUGCUCAACAGUUGGGCUUUCAGAAGAUACUGUUCGGCUCGAGACCGGGAGAGGUGAGAGGUACUUCAGGGGUAGGGGUGAAAUCUUGUAAUCCUUGAAGGACCACCAGUGGCGAAGGCGUCUCACCAGAACGGAUCUGACGGCAAGGGACGAAAGCUAGGGGCACGAACCGGAUUAGAUACCCGGGUAGUCCUAGCCGUAAACGAUACUCGCUAGGUGUCAGCCACGGUGCGACCGUGGUUGGUGCCGUAGGGAAGCCGUGAAGCGAGCCACCUGGGAAGUACGGCCGCAAGGCUGAAACUUAAAGGAAUUGGCGGGGGAGCAC